CCUCCCUCUCCCAUCCCAGUCUCUCCAUCAGCCUCCCCCUCCUCCCUCUCUCCUUCUGUCAGCAUGGGUUUUGUUCCCUCUCUCUCUCUCUCUUUGUUUCCUUGUCACUUCAGAGAAGAAGCAGAAUUAGGAUCCAUUACACACACCUUGACACACCAGACACACCCUCUACAGAUGAGAUCAGGUCUGUGUGUUCCAUAGCAGCGGUGCCACUGUGGGAUGUAAUGGAGGAGUCUGUUGGGAAGAGCAGAGGUUGUAACUCCACCUAGUGUUCACUGGAGAAACUACAUCUGGAGGAGGCGCAGUGUCUUAUGUCCUCAUGUUUGAUAUAUGAUUAAUAUUCAAUGCAAAAUAUUAGGUUAACAUUUUGUAUUUUUUUAAAGCACAAGAAAUAAAAAAAUGUAAAGUUGGAAUUCAGGUGAGAGUCAGACAACAUAUCUUUCUGGAAGGAGGGGUGAAGGUGGUCUGGAGGUGAAGGAGGUGUGGUGGUGGGAGGUGUGGAGGAGGUCUGGAGGUGGAGGAGGUAUGGAGGGGGUCUGGAGUUGAAGGAGGUGUGGUGGUAGGAGGUGUGGAGGAGGUCUGGAGGUGGAGGAGGUAUGGAGGGGGUCUGGAGGUGGAGGAGGAGUGGUGGUGGGAGGUCUGGAGGUGGAGGAGGUGUGGUGGUGGGAGGUGAGGAGGAGGUCUGGAGGUGGAGGAGGUGUGGUGGUGGGAGGUGUGGAGGAGGUCUGGAGGUGGAGGAGGUCAAUCAAUCAAUCAAAUGUAUUUAUAAAGCCCUUUUUACAUCAGCAGUUGUCACAAAGUGCUUUUACAAAACACCCGGCCUUAAACCACAAGGAGCAAACAACUGAAGUGUUGUAGUGUUGCUAGAAAAAAGGGAAAAAAAGCAGUAAUUUAGGAAGAAACCUAGAGAGGACCCAGGCUCAGAGGGGGGACCAGUCGUCUUCUGGCUGUGCUGGGUGAACAUUUUAAGAGUACAAAUUGUAAUAAUUAAUAAAUGCAUGCGGGUUGAGUCCAGAGUCUAUUUAAACAUAGUCCAGGUCAGAAGCAUGACCAGAUGGACAAGGACAGGGACAACCCGGGAGGGGGGGGGCAGCAGAGUGGCAGGUGAAAUCUCAGCUAUCUUCUUAUUCUGCAACACAACCAGGAGGACUCUGGACAGGGACCAGGACCUCAUGUCCUCAGUCCUAAGUUUAAAACGGCAGGAGACAGGUAAAAUGUGGUGAUGAGAGCCCACCUGGCAAGACAGCAAGGGUGGACAGUAUGAAGACUUUCUGGUCACAUUCACGCCCCCGGGCCAGGCUACACCUAAUUAUAAACCGUGCUGUAGAGAUGAGUCUUUAGUAGACACUUGAAAGUUUGCACUGAGUUUGCAUUUCUAACCUUAAUUGGCAGAUCAUUCCACAGUAGUGGAGCUCUAUGAGAGAAGGCCCUGCCUCCGGCAGUUUGUUUAGAGAUUCUAGGUACAAUUAAAAGGCCUGCAUCUUGCGAUCGUAGGUCACGUGUAGGUAUGUAUGGCUGGAUCAUUUCAGCAAGGUAAGUAGGAGCAAGUCCAUGUAUUGAUUUAUAGGAGUAAAACCUUAAAAUCAGCGCUAACCCUAACAGGCAGCCAGUGUAAGGACGCUAGGACAGGAGUAAUGUGUUAAAAUUUUUAUGUUUUUUGAAGUUUAUUUAUAAAUUUUUCUGGAUAACCAGAGAGAAGAGCAUUGAAGUAAUCUAGUCUAGAAGUAACGAAAGCAUGGAUUACUUUUUCUGCAUCAGUUUUUGAUAGAAAGUUUCUGAUUUUUGCAAUGUUUCGAAGAUGAAAAUAAGCAACUCUUGAGACAUAUUUUAUUUGUUCUUCAAAGGAGAGGUCAGGGUCAAGGGUAACGCCAAGGUUUUUUACAGUUUUUUGGGAUACGACCAUGCAGCCGUCGAGGUUCACAGUGUGCUCUGCUAACAACGCUCUUUGUUUUUUGGGUCCUAAAAUGAGCAUUUCUGUUUUUCUUGAGUUUAAAAACAAGAAGUUCUCUGUCAUUCACUUCCUAAUAUCUGAAAAGGAGGUGUAGUGGUGAGAGGUGUGAAGGAGGUCCGGAGGUGGAGGAGGUGUGGUGGUGAUAAGUUUGGAAGAGGUCUGGAGGUAGAGGAAGUGUGGUAGUGAGAGGUGUGGAGGAGGUCUGGAGGGGGAGGAGGUGUGGUGGUGAUAAGUUUGGAGGAGGUCUGGAGGUAGAGGAAGUGUGGUGGUGAGAGGUGUGGAGGAGGUCUGGAGGGGGAGGUGUGGAGGGGGAGGAGGUGUGGUGGUGAGAGGUGUGGAGGAGGUCUGGAGGGGGAGGUGUGGAGGGGAAGGAGGUCUGGAGGUAGAGGAAGUGUGGUGGUGAGAGGUGUGGAGGAGGUCUGGAGGGGGAGGUGUGGAGGAGGUGUGGAGGGGGAGGAGGUGUGGUGGUGAGAGGUGUGGAGGUGGUGUGGAGGGGGAGGAGGUGUGGUGGUGAGAGGUGUGGAGGAGGUGUGAAGGGGGAGGAGGUGUGGUGGUGAGAGGUGUGGAGGAGGUCUGGAGUGGGAGGUGUGGAGGAGGUGUGGAGGGGGAGGAGGUGUGGUGGUGAGAGGUGUGGAGGAGGUGUGAAGGGGGAGGAGGUGUGGUGGUGAGAGGUGUGGAGGAGGUCUGGAGGGGGAGGUGUGGAGGAGCUGUGGAGGGGGAGGAGGUGUGGUGGUGAGAGGUGUGGAGGAGACUGGCGUCUGACUCAAACAGAACAUUCUUUAGGUUUCCAGAUUUCCAACUGAUCUUGAGAUAGUUACCCCUGAGGUCAUUACCCAGUCAGGGUCCGUAAGGACCUCAAACAACAACGCUGUAUAUUUAUACACACACACACACAGACAGACAUCAUGAGACCUGGUGCCUGAUGGGUAAACGGCAGUAGGUGUAGCCAGCUCCACAUCGCUAACGGAAAUGUCCGGCAGUCCCUCCCCUACAGGCCAUCGCCACAACGACCCACCAGACAAUAGAGGACAGGAUCCUCCACUCUGAAAGGAAGGCAGGUCACUUCCUGUAGCACUGUGCUAGCAGCUCAGUUAAUACAUGCGUGUGUUUUUCUGUGUGUCAUAGAGGUGAAUAGAGGGAACAAAUCCAUACCAGUGUCCCUAUUUAUCACUUUAAUAAUAAUACAAAAUCCCUCCUGAUAAAGCAUUCGGAUCGGCCUGUUCUAAAAGCCAAAUCUAAUUUCACUGCUCCACAAAUUAAGGGAACAUGUAAAUCAUACAUUGGGUCUCAAAGUAAACAGUCUGUUAUUUCAAUUGUUUACUUUGAUUUUCGUUGUGAGUUUGAAUCCAGCCCUCAAUCGGUUGGUGAUUUUGGUUUCCAUUGACCGUUGUUACAUCAUUUUGUUCUCAGUGAAUUACACAAUAUACAGCAAAGAUUUUGAUGUAUCACCACCACACCUCAUCCACCUCCAUCCACCUGGGCUGGAUUCAAACACACCGAAAAUCAAAGAAAACAACUGAAAUCACAGGCUGUUCCAACUUGCAUGAAUUACAUCACAGUGACUCAAUGUGACUCAGUAGUGUGUAUGACCUCCAUGUGCCUGUAUGCACUCCCAACAACGUCUGGGCAUGCUCCUGAUGAGAUGGCAGAUGGUGUCCUGGGGGAUCUCCUCCCAGACCUGGAUCAGGGCAUCAGUGAGCUCCUGGGCAGUCUGUGGCAUUUCUUGGCGGCGUCGGAUGCACUGAUACAUAACGUCCCAGAGGGUCUCAAUUGAUUUCAGGACAGGGGAAAAUGAGGGCCAGUCAAUGGCAUCAAUGCCUUCGUCAUCCAGGAACUGCAUACACACUUUGGCCACAUGAGGCCGGGCAUUGUCCUGCACCAGGAGGAACCCAGGGCCCACAGCACCAGGUUAAGGUCUGACGAUGGGUCUGAGGUUUUCAUCCCGGUACCUAACAGCAGUCAGGGUACCGCUGGCUAGCACAUGGAGGUCUCUGCGACCCUCCAAGGGUAUGCCUCCCAAGACCAUCAAUUUACAAAGACAAUGGGAUUCAUCAUUAUAAGGAGGAAACAAUUCUGUGGUUUAAGAACAUGUCAUAAAGCUUUUCUUAAAGCCUUUCUCAAGAAAUUCAUUUAAUUAGAAACGUAGGAAGAUUUUGGUGAAUGAGGCCCAUUGAUCUGAGCCUCCCUGGGAGAAAGCAAAAUGACCCAUUAACCUAUUUUAAAUGCAUUAAACUCAGAGAUCUGAAACAACAAAAAUCUAAGAUCAAGCUAAUGUAGAGUUACUUGUUAAACAACACUUGAUGCACAAUUCAGGUCAGUAUUGGCCAAACAAUGUAAAACAAAUGUCUUUUAGAUUCUCCCUGAAAUCAACCAGUGAGGUUUCAAGAUUGACAACUCAACUGAGUCCGCCAGCUUUUGUCAGCGGUUCACUUCCCAAGCUGAUGCUUUAUCCUGUGUUCCUAUUCUCCUUUACUUCUGUGUGCCUGGCUGACACCUCUGCUUAGGUGUUGGCCCAUUUCUUCAAGCUCAACAUCAACAAAACAGAGCUGCUCUUCCUCAGGGGGGGUCCACCCACACAAAUGCACUAAGAUACAGAACACAGAGAGGGAGAGGGUAUGUUUAGCCAGAGCCCAGAGACAACAAAGUGUAUGGCAGCUGCUCCGCCCUCGACCGUAAAGCACUUCAAAGGGUGAUUAAAACAGCAGAGAGCUUCACAAGGUCUGACCUGCCAUCCCUGCAGGAUCUCUACACAGAGAGGUGUAGGAGGAGGAGCAAACGGAUCAUUACAGAUCCCAGCCACCCAUGACAUGGACUGUUUACCAAGCUGCCGUCAGGCAGAAGGUACAGGAGUAUUCAGUCCAAAACUAACGGGCUAUGGGACAGCUUCUUUCCACAGGCUGUAAGGCUGCUCAACUCAGGAACCCCUCUUCCCUUCCAUCUAUAGUCCCAUGCACACCUGUCACUUUAUAUCAUGUACACCUGUCA
ensembl:lncRNA